rnacentral:rRNA from 1 species
CCUACGGGAGGCAGCAGUGAGGAAUAUUGGUCAAUGGCCGGAAGGCUGAACCAGCCAUGCCGCGUGAAGGUCAGUGCCCCAUGGGCGUUAAACUUCCUUUGUGCGGGAGUAAUAAUGGUCACGUGUGGCCAGACGAGAGUACCGUACGAAUAAGCAUUGGCUAACUCCGUGCCAGCAGCCGCGGUAAUACGAAGGGUUCGAGCGUUGUUCGGAAUUACUGGGGGUAAAGGGAGUGGAGGCGGGUAUGUAACGUAGCGGUGAAAAGCCGGGGCACAACCCCGGAACUGCCAUUAUGACUAUGUAUCUAGAGUAAGGGAGAGGAUAGCGGAAUACCCAGUGUAGAGGUGAAAUUCGGAGAUAUUGCGUAGAACACCGGUGGCGAAGGCAGCUAUCUGGCCAUUUACUGACGCUGAGGCUCGAAAGCAUGGGUAUCAAACAGGAUUAGAUACCCGUGUAGUC